UCCCCUAGUAACGGCGAGUGAAGCGGGAAAAGCUCAGGCUAAAACCUUCGGGGAUGUAGUCUGCAGAGGGAAUAGUCGAGGAUGGAACCUGCUUUCAAGUUGCCUUUUGAAUGGCACGCCACUGAGGGUGAUAGCCCCGUUCGGAUUGCAGGGAACGUCCAGUACUAUCCUUCGAAGAGUCGAGUUGUUUGGGAUUGCAGCUCUAAUGGGUGGUAAAUUCCAUCUAAAGCUAAAUAUUGACGGGAGACCAAUAGCGAACAAGUACCGUGAGGGAAAGAUGAAAAGCACUUUGAAAAGAGAGUGAAAUAGUACCUGAAAUUGCUGAAAAGGAACCGAUGGGAAGCAGUGGGGCGUUGUGGCACUCGUGCCAUGGAGCCGGUUCAGCUCCCUUGUUGGACAUGGGAGAAGGGAGGAGUUCCGAUUCGGGCUYCUUUUCCUGUCAUGUCUACGAGGCGACUUGAACAAAAUGCUUCUCAUCAUCCCGUCUUGAAACACGGACCAAGGAGUCUAACAUGUGCGCGAGUGCUCGGGGUUUGACCUCCCAGCGCGAAAUGAAAGUAAAGGUAGCUGAUUUUGGCUACUGAGGUAACAAGGUGCGGUAACACGUACCUGCCUUAUCGACCGACCAUGAUCCUUCGGGUGAAAGGCUUGAGUUUGAGCGCAAAUGUUGGGACCCGAAAGAUGGUGAACUAUGCUUGAGUAGGACGAAGCCAGGGGAAACUCUGGUGGAGGUCCGUAGCGAUUCUAACGUGCAAAUUGAUCGUCGAACUUGAGUAUAGGGGCGAAAGACUAAUCGAACCAUCUAGUAGCUGGUUCCUCCCGAAAUUUCCCUUAGGAUAGCUGCAACCGAACAGUUGUAUCAGGUAAAGCGAAUGAUUAGAGGCCUCAGGGGUGGAACGUCCUUGACCUAUUCUCAAACUUUAAAUGGGUACGAGCCCCUGGUUGCUUAACUGAACCCGGCGGUCGAAUGACGGUUGCUAGUGGGCCAAUCUGGGUAAGCUAGAUUGGCGAUGCGGGAUGCUCCGAACGUUGAGUUAAAGUGCCAAAGUAUCCGCUAACCUAGAUCCCACAAAAGGUGUUGGUUCAUUAAGACAGCAGGACGGUGGCCAUGGAAGUCGGAACCCGCUAAGGAGUGU
rnacentral:rRNA from 1 species